rnacentral:rRNA from 1 species
GAUGAACGCUAGCUACAGGCUUAACACAUGCAAGUCGAGGGGCAGCGGGAUUGAAGCUUGCUUCAAUUGCCGGCGACCGGCGCACGGGUGAGUAACGCGUAUCCAACCUUCCGUACACUCAGGGAUAGCCUUUCGAAAGAAAGAUUAAUACCUGAUGGUAUGAUGAGAUUGCAUGAUAUCAUCAUUAAAGAUUUAUCGGUGUACGAUGGGGAUGCGUUCCAUUAGGUAGUAGGCGGGGUAACGGCCCACCUAGCCAACGAUGGAUAGGGGUUCUGAGAGGAAGGUCCCCCACAUUGGAACUGAGACACGGUCCAAACUCCUACGGGAGGCAGCAGUGAGGAAUAUUGGUCAAUGGACGAGAGUCUGAACCAGCCAAGUAGCGUGAAGGAUGAAGGUCCUACGGAUUGUAAACUUCUUUUAUAAGGAAAUAAACCCUCCCACGUGUGGGAGCUUGUAUGUACCUUAUGAAUAAGCAUCGGCUAACUCCGUG